rnacentral:rRNA from 1 species
GUUGUUGCGGUAAAAAAGCUCGUAGUUGGAUUUCUACCGAAGAUAGCCGGUCGGGUCUUCGACCUUGUAUCUGGUUUUGUCUUUGGUAUCCUCAUGGGGAACGUUGCUGCGCUUCAUUGCGUGGUGCGGUAUCCAUGACUUUUACUUUGAGGAAAUUAGAGUGUUCACGGCAGGCAAACGCCCUGAAUAUAUUAGCAUGGAAUAAUAACAUAGGAUCUUCGUCCUAUUUUGUUGGUUUCUAGGGCUAAGAUAAUGAUUAAUAGGGAUAAUUGGGGGCAUCUGUAUCAACGCGUCAGAGGUGGAAUUCUUGGAUUGCGUUGCGACAAACUACUGCGAAAGCAUUUGCCAAGGAUGUUUUCAUUGAUCAAGAACGAAAGUAAGGGGAUCGAAGAUGAUUAGAUACCAUCGUAGUCUUUACCAUAAACUAUGCCAACUAGGGAUCGGCGGUCGUUCUUUCUAUGACUCCGUCGGCACCUUAUGAGAUAUCAAAGUUUUUGGGUUCCGGGGGGAGUAUGGUCGCAAGGCUGAAACUUAAAGGAAUUGACGGAAGGGCACCACCAGGAGUGGAGCCUGCGGCUUAAUUUGACUCAACACGGGAAAACUCACCAGGUCCAGACAAAAAUAGGAUUGACAGAUUGAUAGCUCUUUCUUGAUUCUUUGGGUGGUGGUGCAUGGCCGUUCUUAGUUGGUGGAGUGAUUUGUCUGCUUAAUUGCGUUAACGAACGAGACCUCAGCCUGCUAAAUAGUGCGUUCUAACCUCGGUUAAAUCGAUCACUUCUUAGAGGGACUUUGCCCGCUUUAGGGUAGGGAAGUUUGAGUCUAAAACAGGUCUGUAAUGCCCUUAGAUGUUCUGGGCUGCACGCGCGCUACACUGAUGCGUUCAACGAG